AUUGAACGCUGGCGGCAUGCCUUACACAUGCAAGUCGAACGGUAACGGGUCCUUCGGGAUGCCGACGAGUGGCGAACGGGUGAGUAAUAUAUCGGAACGUGCCCAGUAGUGGGGGAUAACUGCUCGAAAGAGCAGCUAAUACCGCAUACGACCUGAGGGUGAGAGGGGGGAUCGCAAGACCUCUCGCUAUUGGAGCGGCCGAUAUCAGAUUAGCUAGUUGGUGGGGUAAAGGCCUACCAAGGCAACGAUCUGUAGUUGGUCUGGGAGGACGACCAGCCACACUGGGACUGAGACACGGCCCAGACUCCUACGGGAGGCAGCAGUGGGAAUUUUGGACAAUGGGCGCAAGCCUGAUCCAGCAAUGCCGCGUGCAGGAAGAAGGCCUUCGGGUUGUAAACUGCUUUUGUCAGGGAAGAAAUCUUCUGGGCUAAUACCCCGGGAGGAUGACGGUACCUGAAGAAUAAGCACCGGCUAACUACGUGCCAGCAGCCGCGGUAA
rnacentral:rRNA from 1 species